rnacentral:rRNA from 1 species
GACGAACGCUGGCGGCGUGCUUAACACAUGCAAGUCGAACGGUGAAUGCGGAGCUUGCUCCGCUGGAUCAGUGGCGAACGGGUGAGUAACACGUGGGCAACCUGCCCCUCACUUCGGGAUAACUCCGGGAAACCGGGGCUAAUACCGGAUAUGACCUCCUUGGGCAUCCUUGGAGGUGGAAAGUUUUUCGGUGAGGGAUGGGCCCGCGGCCUAUCAGCUUGUUGGUGAGGUAGUGGCUCACCAAGGCGACGACGGGUAGCCGGCCUGAGAGGGCGACCGGCCACACUGGGACUGAGACACGGCCCAGACUCCUACGGGAGGCAGCAGUGGGGAAUAUUGCGCAAUGGGCGAAAGCCUGACGCAGCAACGCCGCGUGCGGGAUGACGGCCUUCGGGUUGUAAACCGCUUUCAGCAGGGAAGAAGCCGCAAGGUGACGGUACCUGCAGAAGAAGCACCGGCUAACUACGUGCCAGCCGCCGCCGUAA